UGCUGGUUAAAGCCAGCAGUGGGAUACAGGGUGGUCUGCUGCUGGUUAAAGCCAGCAGUAGGAUACAAGGUGGUCUGCUGCUGGUUAACAUAGUGGGAUACAGGGUGGUCUGCUGCUGGUUAACACAGUGGGAUGCAGGGUGGUCUGCUGCUGGUUAACACAGUGGGAUACAGGGUGGUCUGCUGCUGGUUAAAGCCAGUAGUAGGAUGGUCUGCUGCUGGUUAACAGUGGGAUACAGGGUGGUCUGCUGCUGGUUAAAGCCAGUAGUAGGAUGGUCUGCUGCUGGUUAACAUAGUGGGAUACAGGGUGGUCUGCUGCUGGUUAAAGCCAGCAGUGGGAUACAGGGUGGUCUGCUGCUGGUUAACACAGUGGGAUACAGGGUGGUCUGCUGCUGGUUAACACAGUGGGAUGCAGGGUGGUCUGCUGCUGGUUAAAGCCAGCAGUGGGAUGCAGGGUGGUCUGCUGCUCGUUAAAACAGUGGGAUACAGGGUGGUCUGCUGCUGGUUAAAACAGUGGGAUGCAGGGUGGUCUGCUGCUGGUUAAAGCCAGCAGUGGGAUACAGGGUGGUCUGCUGCUGGUUAAAGCC